rnacentral:rRNA from 1 species
GAUGGACGCUGGCGGCGUGCCUAAUACAUGCAAGUCGAGCGAACAGACGAGGAGCUUGCUCCUCUGACGUUAGCGGCGGACGGGCGAGUAACACGUGGAUAACCUACCUAUAAGACGGGGAUAACUUCGUGAAACCGGAGCUGAUACCGGAUAAUAUAUUGAACCGCAGGGUUCAAUAGUGAUAGGCGGUUUUGGUGUCACUAAUAGAUGGAUCCGCGCCGCAUUAGCUAGUUGGUAAGGUAACGGCUUACCAAGGCAACGAUGCGUAGCCGACCUGAGAGGGUGAUCGGCCACACUGGAACUGAGACACGGUCCAGACUCCUACGGGAGGCAGCAGUAGGGAAUCUUCCGCAAUGGGCGAAAGCCUGACGGAGCAACGCCGCGUGAGUGAUGAAGGUCUUCGGAUCGUAAAGCUCUGUUAUUAGGGAAGAACAAAUGUGUAAGUAACUAUGCACGUCUUGACGGUACCUAAUCAGAAAGCCACGGCUAACUACGUG